rnacentral:rRNA from 1 species
AUGGAGGAGAGGAUAAAGAAGAAGCGACACAAGAUCGUGCAGGCCAAGACCGGCUCGUCCAAUGCCAUGAAGGUCGUCUUCAACAAGUUUGAUUUCUCCAAUUCAUAUAUAUGGUUUGAGUUCUACAAUGCUCUAUUGCCAAAAGAUGUGAAAUUAAUUUGUGAUACUCUGCGAUCAUGGCAUAUACUUGGACGCCUUGGUGGGUGCAAUUCCGUGAAUAUGCAGCUAUCACAGUUGAGUUUAGAUUGUAAAAGACCAACUUAUGAUGCUCUUGAAGCAGCAAACGCCACACCAACAUCCUUUUACAACAUUGGUGAUCUAGAGAUUCAAGAGAACCUAGCACGUGUCUGGGUGGACAUUGGUAUUCAAGAUCCAUUGCUUUUGGACAUCCUGCUUAAUUCAUUAACCACCAUAAAUUCGGAUCAUCUGGGCAUUAAGGAAGUACAGUUCGGAGGGUCAGAGUUUCAGAGCUGGAACGACGGCUUGAAUACUGAAGAAGCUGGAUACAGUGUCCAGAAGAUCUAG